GGCUGAAUUUGACAUUAAGAAAGCCCUUGAGAUUGAUCCUAACAACAGGGAUGUGAAGCUUGAAUACAAAGCUCUGAAGGAGAAGGUUAAGGAAUUCAAUAAGAAGGAUGCAAAAUUCUAUGGGAACAUGUUUGCUAAGUUAAAUAAGUUGGAUACCAACUAUAUGUAAGUUUCAGAAUCAUGAUUUCUAGAGUCUAUGUAGCUCCAUCUUGUUUGGUGAUCAGUUAAAGACACUUCAUCUUUGUGAAAUCUGCUUUCAAGCAACCACAACCGAUGAGCUUAGACAGCAAAGCAUAGUUGUCUUAAGCAGACAAGUCUUACUUUCAUGACGCCUUGUUAGUUGUUUAGGAGUGUUAGUCUAAGCUAUUAGAACAACUUGAUCUGUGUCAGUCAUAGCCAUCAAAAAACGCU
rnacentral:misc_RNA from 1 species